GACGAACGCUGGCGGCGUGCUUAACACAUGCAAGUCGAACGAUGAAGAAAAGAAUCGAAGCUUCGGCAGAAAUUCAUUUCGGAUUAGUGGCAGACGGGUGAGUAACGCGUGAGCAACCUACCUCUUACAAAGGGAUAGCCUCGGGAAACCGGGAUUAAUACCAUAUAACAUUGUGACGAAGCAUUUCGAUGCAAUCAAAGCUACGGCGGUAAGAGAUGGGCUCGCGUCCCAUUAACCGGAUGGUGAGGUAACGGCUCACCAUAGUGACGAUGGGUAACCGGCCUGAGAGGGUGAACGGUCACACUGGAACUGAGACACGGUCCAGACUCCUACGGGAGGCAGCAGUGGGGAAUAUUGCACAAUGGAGGGAACUCUGAUGCAGCGACGCCGCGUGAGUGAUGAAGGAAUUCGUUUCGUAAAACUCUGUUCUAUGGGAAGAAAAGGACUGUACCAUAGGAGAAAGCUCCGGCUAAAUACGUG
rnacentral:rRNA from 1 species